GACGAACGCUGGCGGCGUGCUUAACACAUGCAAGUCGAACGGAAAGGCACUGCUUUUGUGGGGUGCUCGAGUGGCGAACGGGUGAGUAACACGUGAGUAACCUGCCCUUGACUUUGGGAUAACUUCAGGAAACUGGGGCUAAUACCGGAUAGGAGCCCCUGCUGCAUGGUGGGGGUUGGAAAGUUUCGGCGGUUGGGGAUGGACUCGCGGCUUAUCAGCUUGUUGGUGGGGUAGGGGCUUACCAAGGCUUUGACGGGUAGCCGGCCUGUGAGGGUGGCCGGCCACAUUGGGACUGAGAGACGGCCCAGACUCCUACGGGAGGCAGCAGUGGGGAAUAUUGCACAAUGGGCGGAAGUCUGAUGCAGCAACGCCGCGUGCGGGAUGACGGCCUUCGGGUUGUAAACCGCUUUCGCCUGUGACGAAGCGUGAGUGACGGUAAUGGGUAAAGAAGCACCGGCUAACUACGUG
rnacentral:rRNA from 1 species